rnacentral:rRNA from 1 species
CAGCACCUCAAGUGGUCAGGAUGAUUAUUGGGCCUAAAGCAUCCGUAGCCUGUUCUGUAAGUUUCCGGUUAAAUCCAUUAGCUCAACUAAUGGGCUGCCGAAAAUACUGCAGAACUAGGGAGUGGGAGAGGUAGACGGUACUCGGUAGGAAGGGGUAAAAUCCUUUGAUCUAUUGAUGACCACCUGUGGCGAAGGCGGUCUACCAGAACACGUUCGACGGUGAGGGAUGAAAGCUGGGGGAGCAAACCGGAUUAGAUACCCGCGUAGUCC